rnacentral:ncRNA from 1 species
AACAACCAAAUAUGAUAUUCUGCAAAGGGUCAAGUUGGUAAUUUUUCUUACAUCUCACCCUUUCGGAGCCCAGGUAUCAUAUACGCCCCCAAAAAUAAAGAGCCUUGAAUACUAGAAGAAAAGCACCUAUACGCU